CAACUCGUUUGUAAAGGUAUCCAACCUUAAUUAACCUGUAAGGCAAUCACUUCGUCUACAUUCCAAACAGUGAAGACAAGAAAAAUAUUUCAGUGAAUGAUUUACCACAGAUAUCACAGUGAUGUGGCUUCUCUCUUGUAUCAGGGGUUUUUGGUUUAGCGAAA